CUGAUUUUGGAUUCAAGAUGUUUUGGGAUCAGUAUAGCGUCACCACCUAUCAAGGGGAUUCCCAACAGGUGGCGUUAAUGGUCGUAUGGUGAAACGGUGUAAUAGCGUCCAGUACUUUAGGUUGUAGGUGCUGGGGUAGACGUUAAUGAAUCCUCAAUGAGAGGACUCCAUCAGCUUUGGUGGGGAUAGCUGUACGAUAGCUGGACACGUGGGAGGGGGUCAGUAUUGACCGCAGAAUCAGCACGCAGAG
rnacentral:sRNA from 1 species